GCGGGCAGUGGCUAUUUUCUUCUCUCUGCCAAAGCAGGACACGUUAUUCUUAACACAGAGGGCCACAUCGCUGUCCCUCACAAAUACUUCAGACAGUUGUCUUCAACAUCCUGUGGUUCUUCGUCCGAUUCCUUUUUUUUUUUGAGAUGGAGUCUCGCUCUGUCCCCCAGGCUGGAGCACAGUGGUGCCAUCUUGACUUACUGCAACCUCCACCUCCCGGGUUGAAGGGAUUCUCCUGUCUCAGUCCCCCCAAAUACCUGGGAUUACAGGCGCCCGCCACCACGCCCGGCUAAUUUUUGUAUUUUUAAUAGAGACAUGCUUUCACCAUGUUGGCCAGGCUGGUCUUGAACUCCUGACUUCAGAUGAUUGCCUGACUUGGUCUCCCAAAGUGCUGGGAUUACAGGCGUGAGCCACCACGCCCGGCCCCGACUCCUUCUUUUUUUUUUUUUUUCUUUUUGAUACCACAGAGAAUAGUUGGGAUGAAAGGCAUCCAGCCCCUGCUUCCUUUAAGAUGGCCUCUAGGCAGUGGGUGUUCUGUAAGCCUGGCAAAAAUUCUGGAGCCAAUCUCUGGCAAGGCUGAGUGCCAGGCGGGGCCUAGGGACCCAGGGUCGGUGCUUAAAGCCUCCCGCCCAUUGGAAAUUACUGACCUCCAAAUAUAUAUAUAUAUAUGUUUUUUAAUUUAAAGGGGAAGUACACUGCACACCUUCCUCCACUGGGAGAAAGAGGGCCCAAUCCCCAGCUACCCACCCCCCACCCCCCAAACACACACACACACACACACACACACACACACGUACACACUGACUAAGGCACAGCGAGGGUGGGCAGGCAUGCUUUGGCAAUGGGGCCCCUUGGGGGGCUGUGGCAUGGACGGCUGCAAGGGGUGUGGAUGUGAGCUCAGCACCUUUGGAGGUGGGUGGAGGCAAGGAGAGAAAGAAGUCUCAGGGCUCCCAAGGACACAGGAGAAGGUGCUUGCAAAACAGGCAGAUAAGAAAGCCGACAGGCAACCCAGAAAAGAGAUGAGAAAAAAGAAGAGUGGAAAAAGAGAAACAGGCUGGGUGCGGCAGCUCACACCUGUCCUCCCAGCUACUUGGGAGGCUGGGGCAGGAGAAUCGCUUGAACCCAGGAGGCGGGGGUUGCAGUGAGUCGAGAUCGCACCACUGCACUCCAGCCUGGGCCACAGAGUGAGAAUCCGUCUUAAAAAAAAAAAAAAAAAAAAAAGAAAAGAAAAAGAGAAACAGCUCAGGGGUGAAAACAGGAUGUGGGCAACAAAACAACACAGGAAGGAAACAGCAAGAGGAAAGGGAAGGAAGAAGAUGCAUCCAAGAACUGGUUAGAGUGCAAGGAAUUGGGAAGGAAAGAAAAAGGUGGGAGGGAGGGGAGACAGGAAGAGGAAAACAGAGGAAAGGCAUGGCUGCGGCUGCAGCUUACAUCUCUCGAGCGCCGAGGCUGGCCGCCAUACUUCUCAUCGAACUGGUAGAGGGGCCAGAGAACAAGGGCGGUGGCAUAGAGGAGGACAGACAGCAAGGCCAGCCCCGACAGGAAGCUGGGGAAGGGGAUGGGUAGCACGUUGGUGCACUCCCCCAGGUUCAGCAGGAUGGCGAUGGCCGCUAGGAUGAAGCAGAUGGCGUACACCGCCACGCACCACUCCAGGGCCGGCUGGUGCUGGUACAGGUUGGGGUCGCUGAUGAACGCGAAGAUGAUGCAGGCAACGAAGGUCUCCAGCACCUUCAGCAGCCCGGGUACGGUGGCCAUAUAGCCAGUGAUCUCGCCGGGCCGGGCCCGGGUCCAGGCCACUUCGGUGGCGUAAGCCACACACGCGAUGCAGGAGAAGAAGGUGGCGGCGAUGGCGUGGUCCCGCGAACGGCCGUGGGACAGGAACUGGACAUAGGUGGUGGGGUAGAUGAUGGAGGCCGAGAGGCAGAAGAGGGCCGCAUAGCAGGCGAAGGUGAUGGGGAAGUUGCGCCAAGACAGGGGGAAGCGGGCCUGGAGCCCGCACAGCUCCACGAUGAGGAUGAUCAGGGUCACGGAGAAGCAGAAGCACCAGGUGAACAUGGACCAGUUGCCCAUGGACCCCGUCCAGGCGCCCACGCUAGCCACCAGCGAGAAGGCCACGCAGGUAGACACCAGCUGCAGCAGGCGAAGGAGACCCAGGGGCUGUGUCAGGGCCCGAGGGGACCCCACGAUCAUGGGGGACCCCAGGCCCGAAGAUGACGUCGUGGUGGUUGUGAUGGUGGUGCGGGUUACCGUCACUGGCAUGGCUGCAAAAAGGGGAAAGACAGUGUCCUUAUACAGUCACAAACAUAAGAAUCCAGGUCCCUUAGCCAUUGCCUACCCCAGGGACAAAUUAAUAUGAGCUCUAAUUAGGGAGUUCCCAAGAUGUGGGGCUUUCGGUUUUCUUUUCUUUUUUUUUUUUUGAGACAGAGUCUUGCUCUGUGGCCCAGGCUGGAGUGCAUUGGCACAAUCUCAGCUCACUACAACCUCUGCUACUCAGGUUCAAGUGAUUCUCCUGCCUCAGCCUCCCGAGUAGCUGAGAUUACAGGCAUGUGCCACCACGCCCGGCUAAUUUUUUUGUAUUUUUAGUAGAGACGGGGUUUCACUGUGUUAGCCAGGAUGGUCUCGAUCUCCUGACCUCAUGAUCCGCUGGCCUUGGCCUCCCAAAGUGCUGGGAUUAUAGGCGUGAGCCACCGGGCCCAGCCUUGGGUUUUCAAAUGGGGACAGUCCUGGGCAUACAGGGAUGAGCCUGUCCCCUCCGGUUCAAGGCUCACUCCUCCCCUACUCGUAUCAGAAUCCAGGAGUCUAGGCCCCUAUUUUCCUCCUUCUCAAGAGAUUCUUCUCUCUUUCAAGACCUAACUACUGUACAACUACACUGUUUGCUUCCCACUCCAGAUACCGUGCUUCCCUCUUUCCCUCCCUCCCCAAGGGACUCAGUAGCUCAGCCAUUUAGCACUCUGUACUCUAUAGCACCACCCCUCUGGCCAGGCACAGGUGUGGCUGAUGCCUGUAAUCCCAGCACUCCAAGAGGCUGAGGCAGGAGGAUUGCUUGAGCCCAGGAGUUGGAGACCAGCCUGGGCAACCUUAGGGAGACCUCAUUUACCAAAAAAAAAUUUUUUAAUUAGCUGGGUGUGGUGGUGUGUGCGUGUGGUCCCAGCUACUCGGGAUGCUGAGGUGGGAGGAUUGCUUGAGCCUGUGGGGUCAGGGCUGCAGUGAGCUGUGAUGCACCAGUGCACUCCAGCCUGGGAGACAGAGUGAGACCCUGACUCAAAAAAAAAAAAUUUUUUUUAAUUACAAAUAGGCCGGGUGUGGUGGCUCACACUUGUAAUCCCAGCACUUCGGAGGCCAAGGUGGGUGGAUCACUUGAGGUCAGGAGUUGGAGACCAGCCUGGCCAACGUGGCGACACUCGGUCUCUACUAAUAAUACAAAAAUUAUCUGGGCGUGGUGGCAUGCACCUGCAAUCCCAGCUACUCGGGAGACUGAGGCAGGAGAAUCACUUGAACCCAGGAGGCAGAGGUUGCAGUGAGCCAAGAUAGAACCCCUGCACUCCAGCCUGAGCCACAGAGCCACACUCCGCCUCAAAAAAAAUAAAAUAAUCUGGGCGCAGUGGCUCAUGCCUGUAAUCCCAGCACUUUCGGAAGCCGAGGCUGGCAGAUCACUUGAGGUCAGAAGUUCAAGACCAGCCUGACCAACAUGGUGAAACCCCGUCUCUACUAAAAAUACAAAAAUCAGCUGGGUGUGGUGGUGGGCGCUUGUAAUCGCAGCUACUUGGGAGGCUGAGGCAGGAGAAUCGCUUGAACCCUAGAGGUGGAGGUUGCAGUGAGCCGAGAUUGCGCCACUGCACUCCAGCCCGGGUGACAUGAGUGAAACUCCAUCUCAAAAAAUAAAAUAAAAUAAUAAAAAUAAAUAAAAUAAAUAAAAAAUAAAGCAUCCUCCUUCUGCCUCCUGCCACAACCCAAGUGUCAGAACAAAACGCUUGUCUUCCACAGGCUCUGAAAACCCCAUCUCUCAACUUCCUUUUCUUUCAGUAUUCAGAGCUCUGCACCCCAGACCCUGUGAGCAAACUUCCUUCUUCCAUCGAACAGUGACCUAGACAUUUGCAGCCUCUAAACGGCCCAACCUCCCCAGGCUUCCACUCUCAGGGACCCACAUCUAAUAAGAGCUCCGACCUCCCGAUAAAGGAUAUCUUCUCAUAGAGAUCCCAGCCGUGGAAAACCAAGAGAUCUCCCCUCCCUUCUGACAAGGAGCCUAAACUCUUAGCGGCCUCCUCCUCUCCCUACCCCCCACCUUGGAGAUUAGCAACCUUCACUCUCAGUCUAACUCCCACCUGAGAUUUAGGACUGGAGUACUGCAACCCAAAAAAGCUAGUUUGAGCCUCCCCCUCCACACUCCUGCAUACUGAGUCCAUCUACCUCCACCUUCUCUCCCCAAAACCCAGCCAGCUGGUCCCCCAGCUUCUGGGAAACUCAGCUCCCCAGAUUUCCAACUGUCCAGUAGGAACCCCAGGCCCUUCCACUGAACUCUCUCUAGGCCUCACAAUCCUGUUUUUUGGUUGUUGUUUUUUUUACAUGGAGUCGCUCUGUCACCCAGGCUGCAGUGCAAUGGUGCGAUCUUGACUCACGGCAACCUCCGCCUCCCGGAUUCAAGCGAUUCUCCUGCCUCAGCCUCCUGAGUAGCUGGGAUUACAGGUGUGUGCCACCAUGCUCGGCUAAUUUUUGUAUUUUCAGUAGAGAUGGGGUUUCGCCAUGUUGGCCAGGCUGGUCUCAAACUCCUGACCUCAAGUGAUCCGCCCGCCUUGGCCUCCCAAAGUGCUGGGAUUACAGGCAUGAGCCACUGCGCCUGGCCAUCACCGUCCUGUUAUAAGGGGUCAGACCUCUGGCCCUGGACCCUUAGCCUGAAGGAUCCCAGAUGCCCCAGACUCCAGAAAACCAAUUUGCUUCUUUAGUCCUUGCAAAACCUACAGCUUCCACCUCCUUGUCCUAAUGGCCCCCAGGAAUCAAGUGCCCGUCCUCUUAGAAACCAGGUGCCCAGUUCUUUCCUUAGGCUGUAAACUGUCUCAACGCAGCCACAGGACUAAACCCAAGGCCUCUCCUAGCCACAGGAAAGUAACUUCCUCCUUUCAGCUUCAGGCACUUUGCAGGGCAGUAGCACAGGCCUUAACCUCUUCGUGGCAGUCGCAGGACAGCAGCUCCCUGAGACAAAGGAGCCAGGGCCUGGACUCGCUUCUUCCUCAGAUACCUCAGUGUCUGGGACCCUAUUCCUUGGAGCCCAAGCUUCCUGGUCCUUCUCCCAGGAUCUAGGAGCCCAGGACCUAAUCCUUCCUCCUUCAGACCCACGAGUCCAGACCCCAGCCCCUCCUCCCUCAGACCCAGGAGCCCAGGCCCCCAGCCCCUCCUCCCUCAGACCCAGGAGCCCAGGCCCCCAGCCCCUCCUCCCUCGGACCCAGGAGUCCAGACCCCAGCCCCUCCUCCCUCGGACCCCGGAGUCCAGGCCCCCAGCCCCUCCUCCCUCGGACCCCGGAGUCCAGGCCCCCAGCCCCUCCUCCCUCGGACCCAGGAGUCCAGACCCCAGCCCCUCCUCCCUCGGACCCAGGAGUCCAGACCCCAGCCCCUCCUCCCUCGGACCCAGGAGCCCAGGCCCCCAGCCCCUCCUUCCUCGGACCCAGGAGUCCAGACCCCAGCCCCUCCUUCCUCGGACCCAGGAGUCCAGACCCCAGCCCCUCCUCCCUCGGACCCCGGAGUCCAGACCCCCAGCCCCUCCUCCCUCGGACCCAGGAGCCCAGGCCCCCAGCCCCUCCUCCCUCGGACCCAGGAGCCCAGGCCCCCAGGCCCCCAGCCCCUCCUCCCUCGGACCGAGGAGCCCAGGCCCCCAGCCCCUCCUCCCUCGGACCCCGGAGUCCAGGCCCCCAGCCCCUCCUCCCUCGGACCCCGGAGUCCAGGCCCGCUGCCUACUCACCAGCGGUCUUAGCAGAGGAAUCCACGGAGAAAGAUCUGGUGGUGGAGACGGAUUAAGCCACACUUGGAACAGGCUGUAAGAGCACCUGAGGGGGAGGUAGGCCGUUAGCGUCCGUUUGGACAGGCUCCUCCCUCUAGGGAUCGAACGCCCUGCGGAGACAGGAACGUGGCGUGGAACCCAGCAGGGCCCUGGCGGUGACCCCGGGUAAGCCCCGCCCCCUCCCCUCCCCGUUCAGUUAACUGUUUGGGCUGCGGCGGACGGAACCCAGCGAAAGUGCACGCCCCGCGGGCCGGCGUGGGCGCGUGUGUGAUCUUAACCCCGCGGGGGCGGGGGUGCGGGCGGCAGUGGCGGGAGAACCCUGGGCGGCGGCUGUGGAGGCGGGCGGCCCAGCCAGAGCCGGUGUCUCCGCGCCUUAUAAGGGCUUCGAGUCGGCCCAGGCAUCUGGAAUGUGUCAGGGACCAGGAGGCGGUGCCCGGACCCCCGCCCGCCUCCGGGGCUGCCCGCCCUCUCCCGGAUUUCCGGGGGGUGGGGACCCCGACUCUCAGGGUUGGAGGCCUGCAUUUCUGGAUCCCUAUAAACAUGGGCUGAGAGCCCCCCCAAGAGCAUCUCUAAGACCGGAGUGGGCAGGGACCCGGGCCUCUGAGGGGCUCAGGCUCCAGGCCGGAAACUGCACGCGGUGCUGGCGUCAGGCCCGAGGCCCAGCUACGCCUCCCACGGCCUCCCUAAUCGCCAUUCGGGGCUUGCGGGAGCACCUGGGAGGCUCCACCCGGAGCCAGACACUGCCUGCCCCCACGCCCCUCCAGGACCCUCGAAGGAGAAGGAAAUCGGGACUGGCCCAGCGUCCCGUGCUCUAGAAGGCGGGCUACUGCCCCGUCCCAAGCAGGGGAGGAGGACGAGCGAGGGCGUCACUCAUUCUGUCCCCCGCGGAAGGUGGGCUAGCCGCGGAGGGGGGCGCGCAGGGGAGGGGGGCGCGCCGAGGGGAGGGGAGGGGAGGGGUCCACCCCGCCCUUAGGGCCUCCAGCCAUCGCCCGAGAUCAGAGCUCAGGAAUGCGCAGCCAGACCCUGGAGGGUGAGGAAACACCCCUCCGGGAUUCCUCGCAGCGCACCCGACUCUCCGGGCCACACCCAGCCCCUCAGUGUCCUCCCUCGUCCACUCCAGACGCCACACCCAUCGCUCACGCUGAGAAUCGGGCCCCGGAACCCCAGCUUCGGCUCUCGGCACCCAGAGGUGCGGGACGCAGCCCUGUCUUCUCCUCCUUUCCCAGCUCCUUCUGCACUUCGGAAGCACGGGGCUGGAUCUUAACACCCCCCUCCCUCGGCCUUUCAGGAGCCCAAAGUUCCGAUUCUGUCUGUCCCCUGGAUGGGGAGGGGUCAGUAAUUCUGAAUUCCUUCCAUUCUCAUUCCCAAACCCAGGACACCUAACCCUAAGCGCUUCCCCUCCUAAAGGACCUCCACGUACCAGAUUCCAGCCUCCAACUAGGGCACCUACGAGUCCCCAUCUCUCUACUCCCGCAGACCCAGCCCCUCCUCCCUCAGACUCAGGAGUCCAGGCCCAGCUCCUCCUCCCUCAGACCCAGGAGUCCAGGCCCUCAGCCCCUCCUCCCUCGGACCCAGGAGUCCAGACCCCCCAGCCCCUCCUGCCUCGGACCCGGGAGUCCAGACCCCCAGCCCCUCCUCCCUCAGACCCCGGAGUCCAGGUCCCCUUCCCCACUCUUCCAGACGUAUGACCUCCACAGUCCAGGUCCUCAGCCCUCUCCUCUGCAGAACCCCAAGAAUCCUGGCCCAGCCCCAGUCUUUCUAGGGACCCAGACAUUCUGAGACCCAGCCCAUUCCUCUCUCUGGCCAUAAAGACCCUAGACUGUUGCUUAUGCCCUCUGGGGUCCCCACAACCUCACCUCAGGCAGCCAGUGGCGACUGCGGCUGAAGCAAAGACGACAGCGGCAGC
rnacentral:lncRNA from 1 species